CUUAACUGCCAUGUGUCUGUUUGGUAUGGCUUGAUCCUGUUUAGUUGCACUAUCCAGGAGCGAAGGCCGUCUUCGUGUUCAGUGGGGAACUGUGCCAGCAGCCAACUAGACCCUGAAUCAAAACGCGCCAAAAUGUGUUCGGCAUACAGAUGAAUUCUCCAACAGCAGCAGGUCGCCGAGGGUCCGUUCAGAAAACUAAGCCAAGAAAUUCCUCCCAAGGGAGCUGUGAAAUUGAUCUGGCACCCACUGAAAGGCAUGGGAAGGGACCUCUGAUUAAAGGAGACAUCCCAUCCCUUCCCCUGACCAGUGUCAACCUCAGAGCUGUGAA